ensembl:lncRNA
AUGACCUGGAGGGGUGUGAUUGAGAGGAAUGGCCCGCCUGAUCUGAACUCCAGUGGUGUUUCGUUAUUUGACUUCUAUGCAAGCCGCAGUUUGGCCAUAACAAACACCAUGUUCAAACAUAAGGAUGCCUAUUGGUACACUUGGUACCAGGGCUGCCUAGGUCACAGGUCAAUGAUAAACUUUGUAGUCGUAUCAUCUGACCUGCAGCCGUAUGUUUUGGACACCCGAGUGAAGAGAGGAGCGGAGUUUUCAACUGAUCACCACCUGGUGGUGAGUUGGAUCAGAUGGCAGGGGGAGAUGCCACGUAGACCAGGCAGACCCAAACGCAUAGUGAGGGUCUGCUGGGAAUGCCUGGCAGAAGAACCUGUCAAGACGGUCUUCAACUCCCACCUCCGGCAGAGCUUUGACCGCGUCCCGAGGGCAGUGGGGGACAUUGACUCCGAGUGGACGUUGUUCCACUCUGCGAUUGUUGAGGUGGCUGUUGCUAGCUGUGGUCGCAAGGUGGCCGGUGCUAGUCGCUGGUGGACACCAGAGGUUCGGGGAAACACCAGGCUGAAGAAGGAGGCCUACAGGGUGUGGCUGGUCUGUGGGUCUCCGGAGGCAGCAGACAGGUACCGGAUAGCCAAGCGGGGUGCAGCAGUGGCAGUUGCCAAGGCAAAAUCUCGAGCGUGGGAGGAGUUUGGUGAGGCCAUGGAGAAAGACUAUCGAUUGGCUCCAAAGAGGUUCUGGCAAACUGUCCGGCGCCUCAGGAGAGGAAGGCAGCAACUCGCUCACACUGUUUACAGUGGGGAUGGGGAGCUGCUGACGUCAACUGNUAAGGUGGCCGGUGCCAGUCGUGGUGGCAACCCCCGUACCCGCUGGUGGACACCAGAGGUUCGGGGAGCCGUCAGGCUGAAGAAGGAGGCCUACAGGGCGUGGCUGGUCUGUGGGUCUCCGGAGGCAGCAGACAGGUACCGGAUAGCCAAGCGGGGUGCAGCAGUGGCAGUUGCCGAGGCAAAAUCUCGGGCGUGGGAGGAGUUUGGUGAGGCCAUGGAGAAAGACUAUCGAUUGGCUCCAAAGAGGUUCUGGCAAACUGUCCGGUGCCUCAGGAGAGGAAGGCAGCAACUCACUCACACUGUUUACAGUGGGGAUGGGGAGCUGCUGACAUCAACUGGGGCUAUAGUCGGACGGUGGAAGGAAUACUUUGAGGAGCUUCUGAAUCCCACCUACGUGCAUUCCGAGGAGGAACCAGAGCCAGGAGAUCUGGGGAUGGACUGUCCAAUCUCGGGGGCAGAAGUUGCUGAGGUAGUCAAACAACUACACAGCGGCGGAGCCCCGGGGGCGGAUGAGAUUCGUCCUGACUAUCUCAAGGCUAUGGAUGUUGUAGGGCUGUCGUGGUUGACAUGUCUCUGCAACAUUGCGUGGUCAUUGGGGGCAGUUCCUGUGGAGUGGCAGACCGGGGUGGUGGUCCCCAUCUUUAAGAAGGGUGACCUGAGCGUGUGUUCCAACUAUAGGGGGAUCACACUCCUCAGCCUCCCUGUAAAGGUCUACUCCGAGGUAAUGGAGAGGAGGGUGCGAUCGAUAGUUCAAUCUCAGAUUGAGGAGGAGCAAUGUGGUUUUCGUCUUGGCCGUGGAACUGUGGACCAGCUCUAA